GGCCCAAAUUCUUACGGGAGGCAGCAGUGAGGGAUUUUGCGCAAUGGCCGCAAGGCUGACGCAGCAACGCCGCGUGACCGAUUAAGCUCUGAGGAGUGUAAAGGUCUGUCGCAGAGGAAGAAACUGCCUGAUGAGAAUAUUGUCAGGUACUGACGGUACUCUGUGAGAAAGCUCCGGCUAACUCCGUGCCAGCAGCCGCGGUAAUACGGGGGGAGCAAGCGUUGUCCGGAAUCACUGGGCGUAAAGAGCGUGUAGGUGUCCUAAUAAGUCUCUGGUGAAAGCCUUCUGCUUAACGGGAGAAUUGCCGGAGAUACUAUUGGGAUUGAGUUCAGAAGAGGGAAGCGGAAUUCCUGGUGUAGCGGUGAAAUGCGUAGAUAUCAGGAAGAACACCGGUGGCGAAGGCGGCUUCCUGGUCUGAUACUGACACUGUGGCGCGAAAGCGUGGGGAGCAAACAGGAUUAGAUACCCUGGUAGUCCACGCCCUAAACGAUGGAUACUUGGCGUUGGGAGCUCGAUCCUCCCAGUGCCGUAGCUAACGCGUUAAGUAUCCCGCCUGGGGACUACGGCCGCAAGGUUGCUGUCG
rnacentral:rRNA from 1 species